rnacentral:rRNA from 1 species
UACGUAGGGGGCUAGCGUUGUCCGGAAUCAUUGGGCGUAAAGCGCGUGUAGGCGGCUGGUCAAGCGUGGUGUGAAAUCUCCGGGCUCAACCCGGAAACUGCAUUGCGAACUGACCUAGCUGGAGUGCAGGAGAGGGCAGCGGAAUUCCCGGUGUAGCGGUGAAAUGCGUAGAUAUCGGGAAGAACACCAGUGGCGAAGGCGGCUGCCUGGCCUGUAACUGACGCUGAGACGCGAAAGCGUGGGGAGCGAACCGG